UACAGUGUAUUAUAUGUGUUAGUGUGUACACUGUGUUAUGUGUGUUAGUGUGUACAGUGUAUUAUAUUUGUUAGUGUGUACAGUGUGUUAUAUGUGUUAGUGUGUACAGUGUGUUAUAUGUGUUAGUGUGUACACUCUGUUAUGUGUGUUAGUGUGUACAGUGUGUUAUGUGUGUUAGUGUGUACAGCGUGUUAUAUGUGUUAGUGUGUACAGUGUGUUAUGUGUGUUAGUGUGUACAGUGUGUUGUGUGUUAGUGUGUACAGUGUGUUAUGUGUGUUAGUGUGUACAGUGUGUUAUAUGUGUUAGUGUGUACAGUGUGUUACGUGUGUUAGUGUGUACAGUGUGUUACGUGUGUUAGUGUGUACAGUGUGUUACGUGUGUUAGUGUGUACAGUGUAUUAUAUUUGUUAGUGUGUACAGUGUGUUAUGUGUGUUAGUGUAUAUAAAUAUAUAUAUAUAUGUUAGGGCUGGGCAAGUUAACGCGUUAUUAUCGCGUUAACGCAUUAAUUAAUUAACGCUGGCAAUUAUUUUAUCGUGCAUUAACACAGUUUUUUAAAUUACUACUUUAUUUGGAAAGUCCGUUGCUCUCUGGCUCUGAAUACACACACAGACAAACGAUGGGUCACAAGAGGGUGGGAUGUUGAUCUGGCUCGGGAUCGCGUCAUCACGCAUCUCAACCAAUCAGAGCAUUUGGGGUGGGGCUAAGACUGCUGAAGCGCGCACAUGAACCAGGAAAACCGGAAGAGAAAAAUGGAGAAAGAGCUGGUUACCAAAAGCGCAUGAUGAAAGCAGCUACACUGUGGUGGAGUUUAUUCCAUUUCACACUCUGAUGUAACACACACACAUACACACACACACACACACACACACACAUACACACACAUUGGUCAUUGUAUUUUUUUUCCAUAAGCUGUGCUACACGAUUGCGGUUAUAGUCUGCACGCUAACGCUUCUCACACACGUCUAAAGUGUACAGCUCCAUCUUCCGCUUCUCAUUCUCAGAGUGUGACCUUCUGCAGUAAAAUUCUCACACGAGUUUUUCUCUACAUGAUCAAACUAAACCUCUGUUCAUGUUUCUCAUAUGUAGCUGCUGCUGCUGAUAGUGUAAUGUUUCAAGGGAAGAUGGCUGGAGCUUUACUGCACAUCUUCUCUUGCUGUCUUUGUAAGUGUUUAACACCAGGCCAUAAUGCCAUUGCAGAUCAAAUGUUUACUGAAUGAAGCGUGUGUUCUUUCAAGCAAAGGCUCACUUUCAAACCUGUUCCUGUGUCACUGUGUCUUAUUUUAUUCUUCUGUAAGGAAUAACACACUCUGUGUGCUGCUGUUAUAGGGAAUUAAUCAGUGAUGGGCUGCUGUGAUGAAGAAUAUACACACACACACUCACACACUCAUUCACAUCUAGGCCCAGUUUAUCUCAGCCAGUUCACCUACAGACAUGUUUUUUCCACUCGUCCUCUAGUCUGUGAACAGAGGCAGGAAAAAAGAAAGGAACGCAGGAGUGUGUGUAUAAAACAGUGUAGCAGUGACUCCCCUGGUGUUUGUGGACUAGAAUAAUAAAAGAUUAAAAAAAAAGAAAAAAGAAUAUAUGGAAUAUAUAUAUGUUUUAAAUCUCUCGAUCAGUGUUGCAGUCAGCUCGGUUUAUUCAGAAUGCAUUGUGAUGUUUUAGUCUCGAUCGUAAGCUGCUGUGGAAAAACCAAAUCUCCAAACUGUGAUGUGAGGCUUCAAGAAGUCAGUGGAUCACAGGUACAUUCACUGGAUAGCAAUACACACUUAACACUCUGUUAAUACACAGCGUUAGUGUGUACACCGUGUUGUAUGUGUUAGUAUGUACACUGUGUUGUAUGUGUUAGUGUGUACACUGUGUUAUAUGUGUUAAUAUGUACAGUGUGUUACCAUGUGUUAUUGUGUACAGUGUAUUAUAUGUGUUGAUGUGUACAGUGUAUUAUAUUUUUAAGUGAAAAAUACACUUUUUAUGCAUUUAACAUAAGACAAAUCUACACACUGUCCUCAUGCCUUUUGUGCUCUUUUACAGAGUUGGUCACCAAAAGCGCAUAAUGAAAGCAGCUACACUGUGGUGGAGUUUAUUCCGUUUCACACUGUGAUGUAGCACACACACACAUACAGGUCAUUGCACGCUAACACGUCACACACGUCUAAGGUGUACAGCUCCAUCUUCUGCUUCUCAUUCUCAGAGUGUGACCUUCUGCAGUAAAAUUCUCACACAAGUUUAUAAUCACAAUCAGUGACCUGCAGUUGAUUAUUUUCCUAUAACAACACAUCCCCAAGUGUUUUAUUCCUCUUUUACCCCAGCAGUUUUUUCAUAUCUAGCCCCAUUACACACACCCACAAACUUACCUUUAAAUGCAGCAGUGUAAUAUCUCAAACCAAACCAACACAAAUAAACGUAAAUGUCUUUAUUUAAUUUUUUUUAUAUGGGGACCAAAUUUACAGUGGCUACCCUGGGUCUUGCAAAAAAGUGUCCAAUCGCUCAUGAUUUUUACUGCCCCCUACUGGGCAUUUGUGGUAGUUUGGCCAAGAGUUAAAUUUGUAUUACACGUUGUUAAUGCAGUCCUAGCAUAUCUUAAACAUUUCCUCGCACUUUCAUGUAAAACUAAAAUAUUACUAAACAGAAAAAGUUUAAUAAUUUUAGACUAUGAUUUAGGUCUCUUUUCAAAUUUUCAUACAAAUGUUACAUUUGUUUAAUAAUCAUCAAUGUAAUAUCAAAGUUAAUAUAAAAUUAAUAUAAAUGUUUAUUAUUAUUAUUAUUAUUGUUGUUAUUAUUUUAUUUAAUUUUUUUUUUUUUUUUAGAAUUUUUGCUUCAUCUCAUAAAACCUAAAACCUGGCCACCACUAGGGGAGUUUCUCUUCCAACUCAUUUUCUCUGGAAAGUUUCAGACCUUUACCUAUGAUUAUGAUUCUUUUUUCCAGACUUUUGAUGAAAAAUAAAUGCUAUGGCUGUUGGCCUUCAUAAUAUCUGUAAAUUGUGAUAGUAUAUAACCCAAGCUCAGGAUCGAACCAAGGCACCUGGAGCUAUGAGGCUGUACUACAUAACUAUUAUUAAAACUCCAGGCUUGCCAGUUUCUACAGGGUUCAUGUUUAUCUGCGUUCCCUAGGUUUUCUCAUUGUCUUUCAUCUCCUUACACGUUUUAUCAUUUUUCAUUAGAAGCAUUUCUUUUAUAAAACAGUUUGGUUCUUCUGUUGUCUUUGGCUUGAUUUUAGUAUGAAGCUACAAAUGUAUUUCCUAAACUUAAUGUUUUCUGUGGCAUACUAGUAAAUAUGUGUAAAUAAAUCCAAUUACAAGUGAUUAUCAAUAAUAAAGUCAGUAAAAGCUCAGUGCUAACUGUCUUGAAUCUUUCUUAUGAAAUCUCACUUUAAUGGUGUGGGUGUGCAAGAAAACAUAUGACAGAUGAGGAGAAAAAAUACACAAACACACACACACACACACACACACACACACAUUGUGGUCAGAGCAAGAUUAGCUCCCUCUUCCGUAUACUCCAGCGUCUGAAGUUCAACUGAAGUGUUUCCUGACUGAGGCAGCUCAGCCUCAGAGUGUUUAGUGCUUGUGCACGGCGUUCAGAAUUCAGCAUGAAGGUAGUAAAACUUCAUUUCUAUCUACUUGUGUGCUGUGGAGCUGCAGAAAGUUUCACAGAGAAGUCGGUAGAUUUGGGACAAAAUUUGACUCUAAAGUGUGAGGUAUCUGUAAAAGAUGUGUACUGGUUCCUGAUGAAGCCGUCAGAACCUCCACUGUUUAUAUUACGCUCUUUCUCAAGCCAAUCCACAAGGGCAGAAUACAGUAACACGACCUUCAACAAGAGAUUCUCACUGCAAUAUAACAGCAGUUUAUUUAUACACAACAUCAGUACUAAUGAAUUAGGAGUGUAUUAUUGUAUUCAACCUGGUUCAUCUCCCAGCAUCAGCAGCGGAAUCAGACUUUACAUCCAGAAUCACUCAGCUGAGAAUCAGACAGCAGAUAAAUGUGAAGACGCUGGACUCUGGCGAAGUCUCGUCAUACUUGGAAUAAUAAACUGUCUUGUCGUAGUUGUUGUCACAGGUGAGUGUAAAUAUACUCCAGAAUACUCCGUAAUAAGCAACUGAAUAUACCGUUAACAAGGUUUUUGUUGUUGUUGUUGUUUUUGUCAGAUAGAGCUAAGCAAGUCAGCAAGUUUAAAGGGUUAACAUACUGUAUCUGACUAUCACUAAGAGCUAACUAUAAAAUCUUAUCAGUUUUUUACUUUUUUGCAUAUAGGACACCCGUUGAAUACACUUAAGCUGAAUAUACAAUGUUGUUUACUCGUUCUUCCUUGUUAAUUGAAUCUAAUUCCAUCACAAGUGGUGCCAACUUUGCUAUCAAAAAAAUCCAAGCGGGCAGAGGCAAAAACCCGAGCGUAUGUCUGUAGACGACACAGCCCAUUUUUUUCCAGAUAAGAAAACAGUGAGGCAAAAUCUGGUGUGAUGCUGCUUAAUAAUUAGCAGUUCCACCAUUUUGUUUUUAACCCGAAGUGUAGUUUUAGGUUUUCACGUUUUGCCGUAGCAAUGGGUCAAAAAUCUUAAAUGUUACAUCUAAACUGUAAAUGUUGGCACCUAAGAUAUAUGGUGUAUUGAACUUACAGGACUUUACUAUCAAUUUACUAUUCUUUUUUUUUUUUUUUUUUUUUUUUUUUUUAUAACUAUAGGCCUGUUAUUGAUUGUUAUGGCAUUGAGUGGUUCUCAAU